CAAUAGCGUAUAUUUAAGUUGCUGCAGUUAAAAAGCGCGUAGUUGGAUUUCGGGUGGGAAUGGCCGGUCCGCCGUUUCGGUGUGCACUUGCUACGCCCACCUUGCUGCCGGGGACGUGCUCUUGAGUUCACGCUCGGGACACGGAGUCGGCGAGGUUACUUUGAGUAAAUUAGAGUGUUCAAAGCAGGCCUACGCUCUGAAUACAUUAGCAUGGAAUAACACGAUAGGACUCUGGCCUAUCUUGUUGGUCUGUAGGACCGGAGUAAUGAUUAAGAGGGACAGUCGGGGGCAUUCGUAUUUCAUUGUCAGAGGUGAAAUUCUUGGAUUUAUGAAAGACGAACUACUGCGAAAGCAUUUGCCAAGGAUGUUUUCAUUAA
rnacentral:rRNA from 1 species